CCCUAGUAACGGCGAGUGAAGCGGCAACAGCUCAAUUUGAAAUCUGGCGCAGCCCGAGUUGUAAUUUGUAGAGGAUGUUUCUGGCGACGUGCCUUCCGAGUUCCCUGGAACGGGACGCCAUAGAGGGUGAGAGCCCCGUACGGUUGGAUGCCUAGCCUCUGUGAAACUCCUUCGACGAGUCGAGUAGUUUGGGAAUGCUGCUCUAAAUGGGAGGUAUACGUCUUCUAAAGCUAAAUACCGGCCAGAGACCGAUAGCGCACAAGUAGAGUGAUCGAAAGAUGAAAAGCACUUUGAAAAGAGGGUUAAAAAGUACGUGAAAUUGUUGAAAGGGAAGCGUUCAUGACCAGACUUGGGCAGGUUGAUCAUCCGUGGUUCUCCGCGGUGCACUCUGCCUGCCCAGGCCAGCAUCAGUUCGUCCCGGGGGAUAAAGGCUUUGGGAAUGUGGCUCCUUCGGGAGUGUUAUAGCCCAUUGUGUAAUACCCUGGGGUGGACUGAGGUUCGCGCUCUGCAAGGAUGCUGGCGUAAUGGUCAUCAACGACCCGUCUUGAAACACGGACCAAGGAGUCGUCUUCGUAUGCGAGUGUUCGGGUGUCAAACCCCUACGCGUAAUGAAAGUGAACGUAGGAGAGAGCUUCGGCGCAUCUCCGACCGAUCCUGAUGUUCUCGGAUGGAUUUGAGUAAGAGCAUACGGGGCCGGACCCGAAAGAAGGUGAACUAUGCCUGUAUAGGGUGAAGCCAGAGGAAACUCUGGUGGAGGCUCGCAGCGGUUCUGACGUGCAAAUCGAUCGUCAAAUAUGGGCAUGGGGGCGAAAGACUAAUCGAACCUUCUAGUAGCUGGUUUCG
rnacentral:rRNA from 1 species